CCCCGAAGGAAGAAAGCGCAACAAAGAAAGACCACAUCAUAUUCACUGCGAAGACUCCGCCUUAAGCAGUCUUGUCUUUCCUUGAUUUUUUAAGAAAAAGAGAAAGUCACCGUUCUCGUCAGAUAAGGGAUUUAAGUGGCGACGUUUCUGAAGCGUGAACAACCUCCCAGGCAAGUUUUCGGAAGGGAAGGUGUUGUUUUGGUGGUCGAGUGGCUGAAGCUGUGAUUCGCUUUUGAAAAUUGAGUCAUUUAAGAGACACACCAGAUGAUGUCUUCCGUACAGCCGGGGUCCACGGCUCCUCCCCAGCCCCGAUUACAUCGACCUUUCCCCUUCUUUGACCUUGAAGCCGUUGCGGUGGUGGCUAUACUCCUUGGAGUGUUCCAGGUUCUUAUGACUGUGCCAUUGUACUACUUAGACUCUGGCUUGCCUCGACUCUACAUCCUCCCCCUCUGCGUCGGCAUAAUGUUUACUGCAGCAGGGUCAUUCGCUGUAGCCUGUGAGAAAUCACCAAGCAAGGAACUGCUGAAAGGCUGCGCAUACACUAACCUGGCUGGCCUGGUGGGGGCGCUCUGUGCUCUCUGUGUGUACAGCCUGUGCGUUCACUCCCCGCCCACAUAUGAACCCUGCGUCGGAGAUGAAUAUUACAGUUACUACUAUUCGACUUCUUGCCCAGGAGAGUUAAUGAGCAAUUUCUUCCAGACGGUUUCCGCCUUGCUUUUGGUUUACGACAUGGCUGCCCUCAUCCUCCACGCCCUCCUUUCCUUUUCUGCUCUGAAAGGACUGAAGACAACCUAAUCCGCGAAUGUUGAUAUUUACUAGGAGUUGAGCCCCCUUCUCAUACAAAACUGCAUUUUAAUGUAGCCAACGGACUAUGCAGCUGGUUGCGGCACGUGGACGGGCUACGCUUGUGCUCUCACGCGAGAACCCACACGGGAGCGCUCACGGGCUCUUUAUCGCAGAUGAGAUAACUGCUUUGUUAAAAUGCUCAAAUGUCUUCGCUUUCACUGACUGUAUUUAAGUUUUGUAGCCUCCUCUAAUAAAAUCACAAUUUGUACACUUAA